CAGUCGCCACGGGAAUACAGAGGGUGCGAGCGUUAAUCGGAUUUACUGGGCGUAAAGCGUGCGUAGGCGGCUAAUUGAGUCGGAUGUGAAAUCCCCGAGCUUAACUUGGGAAUUGCAUUCGAUACUGGUUAGCUAGAGUGUGGGAGAGGAUGGUAGAAUUCCAGGUGUAGCGGUGAAAUGCGUAGAGAUCUGGAGGAAUACCGAUGGCGAAGGCAGCCAUCUGGCCUAACACUGACGCUGAGGUACGAAAGCAUGGGGAGCAAACAGGAUUAGAUACCCCCGUAGUCCCUGUCUCUUAUAA
rnacentral:rRNA from 1 species